rnacentral:rRNA from 1 species
UACGACUACAUAUCAGGCAUAUCAAUAAGCGGAGGAAAAGAAACUAACAAGGAUUCCCCUAGUAACGGCGAGUGAAGCGGGAAGAGCUCAAAUUUGAAAUCUUCAAGGUUCUACCUUGACGAAUUGUAGUUUAAAGAAGUGUUUUCGGUUAGAGGAGUAGUAAAAGUUCUUUGGAAUAGGACAUCAUAGGAGGGUGAGAAUCCCGUAUUUGACUAUUCUUUCUAGCUUUGUGAUACACUUUCAAAGAGUCGGAUUGUUUGGGAAUGCAGUCCAAAAUGGGUGGUAAAUUUCAUCUAAAGCUAAAUAUUGGCGAGAGACCGAUAGCGAACAAGUACCGUGAGGGAAAGAUGAAAAGAACUUUGAAAAGAGAGUUAAACAGUACGUGAAAUUGUCAAAAGGGAAGCGUUUGACACCAGUGUUGUUUCUACGAAAAUCAAUUUAUGAUGGCUUGAUGCUAAGCUUUAAGACUUUAUCCGCUUGUUGUUUAGUUUUCUUGUCUUUGUGAAUGCACUUUUCGUGAAACAAGUCAACAUCAAUUUCUUUUGCUGUAAAAGGGUAAGAGGAAGGUGGCUUCGGCUUCGGUUGAAGUGUUUAUAGCCUUUUAUCUCUGCAGUCGGAGAGAUUGAGGUCUGCAGCGUAGACUCUUCGGGGUUAGAUACGUCGGUGCUAAGCUAUAGCUUUUCAUAGACAACUUGUUGACUAUGUUUAGUCAUGUGGCUUACCCGCUGGCGCUAUUUUACCUACGCUUAGGAUGUUGACACACGCGCGUGCUCG